UGGGGAAUAUUGCGCAAUGGGGGAAACCCUGACGCAGCAACGCCGCGUGCGGGAUGAAGGCUUUCGGGUUGUAAACCGCUUUCAGUAGGGAAGAUAGUGACGGUACCUACAGAAGAAGCCCCGGCUAAAUACGUGCCAGCAGCCGCGGUAAUACGUAUGGGGCGAGCGUUAUCCGGAUUCAUUGGGCGUAAAGCGCGCGCAGGCGGGCUGCUAAGCGGGACCUCUAAUCUCGGGGCUCAACCCCGAGCCGGGUUCCGAACUGGCAGCCUCGGGUUCGGUAGGGGUAGGCGGAAUUCCCGGUGUAGCGGUGGAAUGCGCAGAUAUCGGGAAGAACACCGAUGGCGAAGGCAGCCUACUGGGCCGCAACCGACGCUGAGGCGCGAAAGCUGGGGGAGCGAACAGG
rnacentral:rRNA from 1 species